GGUAUGAGAGGGAAUGAGGUUCGUCACUGUGCAGCCAACUUACUCAUUGAACAUGAUGUCCUUCAGUUCUGUCUGUUUUGCUACAAAUGAUAGUCUCUCAUGUUCUUCUCUAUGGCUGUGAACUGUCCUAUCACUGAGUGUACCACAGUCCUUUGUCCACCCACUUUGGUGUUGGUGACUGCUAGUUUAGGAGUCUCCAGCCAUACCAUCUCUGUUUAAUUGAAGGACCUGUAGUUUGAGCAGAGAACCCCUGAAGGGGAAAGAAGGCCACAUUUUUGUUAAGACUUUUCUAUGAAUUGUGGACAUUAUAUCAAAACUGUGGAAAGUUUUGAUGCACAGCUUCUGGCCUAAAAUUCCAAUGUCUGGGGCAUGGUCACGCAAGCAUUUAGUCCCAGCCUUGGGAGGUAGAGGCAGGAGGAUCUCUGAGUUUGAGGCCAGGGUGUUCUACAUAGCAAGACCCUGUCUCAAAACAAAACAAAACAAAAGAAAAUUCUUGUGUUCAUCGAAACAACCUGAAGGAGAUUAAAUUAUGAACUAUGUUCUGGGUUGGUGGCUGGGGAGAGCACAGGGUAUGAGGAGCAUGUUAGCAGUUUCUGCUGCUGUGUGAAUGUCAGAGUGUGACCCCUGGUCAUCAGAGCAUGACCCCUGUUCCUGUAGGCACUGUGGAUGAAAACAUGCCACACAGACUAUGCUCACUAAACCCACUGCAGACAGCUGGCUAUUCCAGGGUUAUUUAGUUGCUGUGAGCCAAACACCUGACUCAGUAGUUUAAACAGGGAAGGGUUUCUUUGGGCUUAGGGUUUGCAGUUCCAGUCCACCACGGUGAAAGCCCGGGGUAGGGGGAGGGGAGGGGCUCAUAGCUGUGGCUCACAUGGGGGAGAUACUUUGUUGUUUAAAAUCCAUUCUAGAUCUCUGGUCCAUGGCAUGGUGCCACCCCUGUUCAGGGUGAGUCUUCUGUCCUCAGUUAAAGCUCCCUGGAAAUGCUCUCACAGACUUCCAAGGGAGUCCAUAUCUAGUCAAAGUGACAGUGACCAGGGUUGGUCAUCCCUUACCAACCUGGCACAUACAUCCCCUUACAUCACAGUCGCCUGCCCUGUCCCUAGGCCUUCUUGGCCAUCUCAAAAUGCAAGGUGCAUUUGGUCUGUCUCUGAAUGUGCUCAAAAUAAUUUUAUUUUAUUUGUGUGUAGGGGCAGGAGGUAAAGCUAUGAGGUAUAUGUGGAUCUUGGAGUACGGCUUGUAAGAGUUGUUUUUUUUCCCCACCAAGUGGUUGUUGGGGAUCAAACUCACUGGGGUCAGGCUUAGCAGCAGGCACCUGCAUACACCAAGCCCUCUCACCAGCCCCUCAAAUGCCCAACAUUGUUCAGAAGCCUCUACUGAGGCUCCAGCACCCCCUUAACUGUAAACUCUGUAAAAUAAUAUAAAGGAAGUUAUAAACUUUCAAUAUGUAUGAGUCCAGCUUGGCUGCACAGUGAGUGAGACCAACAACAACCAACCUUUUAACUUCCAAGGGCACAGGUUAAAAUAGGAAAGAAUGAGUGCAUCAAAAGAAAAAAUCAGACCAAAGCUGACAGGAGUCUGCUGGGAAAUACCAAAUCCUGAAAUGUGGCAUUCCAAACCUGGAGCUCUUGGCCCAGCAUCUGGGCCUCAACAGUCUACCUGCUGCACAUGCAGCCUCUCUCAUGGGGUAGUUCUGCUCACCCAUGCCUUUCUUGGGAAAACAUACCAUGGUCCUGGUGUUUUCAAAAUUCUGAGGUCCUGGGCUGACAAGAUGGCUCAGUGAGUGAAGGCAUUUGCUGCCAAGUCGGAGGAGGUGAAUUAGAUCCCCAAGGCUUACGUGGUGGAAGGAGAGGACUGACUCCCACAGGUUCUUAUCUGACCUCCACACUUGUGCUUUGGCAGGCACGUCAUUGUACACACAUAUAUGCUGAAUAAAUAAAUGUAAUAAAAAAGU
rnacentral:lncRNA from 1 species